GAUGAGCUCGCGUCUGAUUAGCUAGUUGGUGUGGUAAGAGCGCACCAAGGCGACGAUCAGUAGCUGGUCUGAGAGGAUGAUCAGCCACACUGGGACUGAGACACGGCCCAGACUCCUACGGGAGGCAGCAGUGGGGAAUUUUCCGCAAUGGGCGAAAGCCUGACGGAGCAAUACCGCGUGAGGGAGGAAGGCUCUUGGGUUGUAAACCUCUUUUCUCAGGGAAUAAAAAAAUGAAGGUACCUGAGGAAUAAGCAUCGGCUAACUCCGUGCCAGCAGCCGCGGUAAUACGGGGAUGCAAGCGUUAUCCGGAAUGAUUGGGCGUAAAGCGUCCGCAGGUGGCACUGUAAGUCUGCUGUUAAAGAGCAAGGCUCAACCUUGUAAAGGCAGUGGAAACUACAGAGCUAGAGUACGUUCGGGGCAGAGGGAAUUCCUGGUGUAGCGGUGAAAUGCGUAGAGAUCAGGAAGAACACCGGUGGCGAAAGCGCUCUGCUAGGCCGUAACUGACACUG
rnacentral:rRNA from 1 species